rnacentral:rRNA from 1 species
UACGUAGGUGGCAAGCGUUGUCCGGAAUUAUUGGGCGUAAAGAGCUCGUAGGCGGUUUGUCGCGUCUGCUGUGAAAACCGGAGGCUCAACCUCCGGCCUGCAGUGGGUACGGGCAAACUAGAGUGCGGUAGGGGAGAUUGGAAUUCCUGGUGUAGCGGUGGAAUGCGCAGAUAUCAGGAGGAACACCAGUGGCGAAGGCGGCUCGCUGGGCCGGUCCUGACACUGAGGCGCGAAGGCGUGGGGAGCGAACGGG